AACGAACGCUGGCGGCGUGGUUUAGGCAUGCAAGUCGAGCGAGAAAGUCCUUCGGACGAGUACAGCGGCGAAAGGGUGAGUAAUAUAUAGGUAACCUACCUCUUGGACUCGGAUAAUUCCUGGAAACGGGUUGUAAUACGAGAUCGUCCUAUUGGGUCGCAUGGCCCGACUGGUAAAUGGUAGCUCUACUUCUGCCGAGAGAGGGGCCUAUAUCCUAUUAGCUAGUUGGUGAGGUAAUGGCUCACCAAGGCUUUGAUGGGUAGCCGGACUGAGAGGUUGGCCGGUCACACUGGGACUGAGACACUGCCCAGACUCCUACGGGAGGCUGCAGUCGAGAAUCUUCCGCAAUGGGCGAAAGCCUGACGGGGCGACGCCGCGUGAACGAAGAAGGCC
rnacentral:rRNA from 1 species